ACGCGGGCGUGAAGUGUUAAGCGCUCGAAUGCAGCGAGUGUAUACAAGUGCGCAUGUGCAGAUUAGCAAGGGACGUGCAAAGAUCCACUUCGCCUAAGAUCCCUUCAGAUCAUCUGUGGCGUAACCGUUCACGCAUCGGAACUCCAGAAGCAUCCCCAGAUCAUGCAACCUUUAUUCAGCCAUUGCUCUGAAGACUCUGAUUUGGAAUCAUGUCGGGGAGCAUGGUGAGGAAGGUCCAGCCUUUCACGAUUGGGACACGGCUGUCGGUCCCCACUGUGCCGAAGUGCCCAGAGUUUGUAGCCACCUUCUUGCCGAGCCAGGCCCUGGACAUCUGCGGGUCAGGGACACACCUGAUCCAAGCACCUUGUGGCACCGAGUCGCCUGGCGGCCAGGUGUUGUUGACCCAGGCGACUGAAGCUGACUGCUGGCAGCAUGAGGUAUCCACAGAAGAUUAUGUCAGCAGCAGCAAUGCUGUCUCCCAAAGCAGUUCCUCUAGGUCUAUCAGGAAGAUUACCAUCUCCGGGAGGACUGGAACCACUGGGGACGGUGAAGCCCAGGUAUCAGACUGCCGUAAUGCCUCACGCACAUCCAGCUUGGAAGAUAACAGCAAGAGCAACACUGCCUCCAACCCCUUACCUGCAAUGACCAACAGGACCUGUGAGGUGGAUUCCUACUUCAAGGUUCUGCUAAGGAAAGAUGCUGAUGUAGUGCUACAGGAACAUCAAAGUCAAGAUGUAGAUGUUGGAGACAAAUCCACUACCAAAGACCAGAUAAUUCUGCUGAGAGCGGUUUCGCCAAAAAGAGAGCUGGUGGAUAGGAUUUGCCCAUCCUUCGCUAACAGAGAAACGCCGUCCUCUCCAGAAGAGAUCCCGGCACAUAAUGACCACACCAUGACUCAGCCCAACAGCUCCUUCAUUAGAGAAGUCCUACAGGCAGAGGAGUGGAUCAGAGGGAAACUCAGAGAUUUGACAAAUGCCGGCAGUGUCCAAAAGGGCCCACAGCAGAACUGGGAGGAAGCAUCACAGACAGUGCAAAGAGAUCUGAAGGACUUUGAGAAUACACUCAUACAGCUGAACCAGAUGGGGGAGAAGCUCAUAUGUGAACAGAAUCCCAGCGCAGACGUAGUGAGGGAUCAGCUGAGUCAGCUCAAAGACCAGUGGCACACCUUGAAGAAGAUGGCCUCCAGUCAAUCCACUGCAGCGCACUUUGGCAGGAAAGUGGACAAGCUGGACACCUGGACAAAGGAGAAGGAGGAGGAGCAGUCACUUGUUGCGUUUUGUGGGGAGAACGUUGACAACGUCCAAGUGACAAGAAGGACCCUGGAUUUGAAGCAAGUCAAGCGGCAGUAUAUAGUUCUUCAUGAAGACUUUAACCACCCGACUUGGAAGCUAGAAAAGCCAUGGAGAAGUGAGAACGAGAAGAAUUGCGUCAAGAGAACGUAA
rnacentral:lncRNA from 1 species